rnacentral:lncRNA from 1 species
UAUCGCUUAAAUCAAAAUUUCAAUAAUUAAUAAAAACUGAAUAGAGUAAAUCUUUGGAUAUAGAGUCCCUAUAAAUACAACACCAGCGUGAAUUUGUAAACCAUACUUGAAUUUUACCGAGUUAAAAUCAUAACUUCAAAUGAGAACACUUUAACAGAGAGAAUAAAAAGUUGACUUCACUCAUCUUUAGGACAAAAAAUAAUAAAUGUGAGCCUCACAUUGAUACACCGAAGCAACUUCUAAACCCUUCUUCGUGCGUGUUCUCAUUAAGCUAAUAGUUGAGAAGCUUCAGCAGCAAGAAAAUCACCUAAGCAAUUACGCAACAGCAGUUAGUGAAGCAAAAGUCAUCACUGAGAUCAGCCACUGCCACUUCCAUUAAUUAUCAUUACAUAACCCGUGAACUCUGCAUCACAUCAAUAAUAGUCAUGCACAAAUUUAAAUAUUUUUUCAACCUACAACAAUAUCUCCACAUUAGAACCACCCAUUUUAAAAAACACCAAGCUUUCAAAUUUGGACUUCAACUCUUCUUAUUGGCGGAUUCCCUUCUGGAAGAAACCACGAAGAAGAGCUGAGUCUACGUGUUCUUCCUUCUCCACCAACGAACAAACACGUGGGACGUGUGAGAACACUUUUAACAAAAAAAAAGCACGCAAAGGGCCAAAAAUUU